UAUCCUCAUCUCUAGUGGUGAGCUCUAGUGUGAGUGAUGGUUCUGUCCUCAUCUCGUGUGAGCUCUAGUGAGUGGUGGUUCUGUCCUCAUCUCUAGUGUGAGUGUGUGAGUGGUGGUUCUGUCCUAAUCUCCAGUGUGAGCUCUAGUGUGAGUGGUGGUUCUGUCUUCAUCUCUAGUGUGAGCUCUAGGGUGAGUGGUGGUUCUCAUGACUUUCCUCAUCUCGAGUGUGAACUAUUAGGGGUGGGAAUCGCUUGGCACCUCACAAUUCGAUUCCGAUUCAGAGGUCAAUGAUUCGAUUGUAAAAGGAUUUUUGAUGCAUCUCGAAGCAUUUCUUUUUAUGAACAUUUCCAUGCGGGAUUUAAAAAUAUCUAUACAUCUGAAUUUGCUACUCAGUUUGCUAAUCACUUCCUACUUUUGUGAUGAUCAUUAAAGAAAUCAACAGAUUAA